AUGCCCCUGGACUUCACCAAGCACUUCGUCGCGGUGCCGACGGAGUUCAAGCUCAAGAACAACGACGGCUGCUCCUGGAAGGUGACGGUGGAGCUGAUGAACGCCAGGCUGACCCUGGAUCAGGGUUGGGCCACCUACGCAGUCGUUCAUCAGAUCAAGAUCCGCUACAUGGUGACGUUCAAGCUCCUCACUACCGACACCCUCAAGUUCAUCAUCUUCGACGAGGAUGGCAUUGAGGUCGUCAACAAGUGUGGGAAGCACGACAAAGCCUUCGCCGCCAAGGAGUAG
rnacentral:rRNA from 1 species